rnacentral:rRNA from 1 species
GACGAACCGUGCAAACGUUGUUCGGAAUCACUGGGCUUAAAGGGCGCGUAGGCGGUCGAUCACGUCCGGGGUGAAAUCUUUCGGCUUAACCGGAAAAGGGCCUUGGAUACGGAUCGGCUGGAGGGAGGUAGGGGCAGGUGGAACUUCCAGUGGAGCGGUGAAAUGCGUUGAUAUUGGAAGGAACGCCGGUGGCGAAAGCGACCUGCUGGACCUCUUCUGACGCUGAGGCGCGAAAGCUAGGGGAGCGAACAGG